rnacentral:tRNA from 1 species
GCGGGAGUAACUCAGCUUGGUAGAGUGCCUGCCUUCCAAGUAGGUUGUCGCGGGUUCGAGUCCCGUCUCCCGCUCCA